rnacentral:rRNA from 1 species
AAAGCGUGCGCAGGCGGUUUUGUAAGACUGUCGUGAAAUACCCCGGGCUCAACCUGGGAAUGGCGAUGGUGACUGCAAGGCUAGAGUUUGGCAGAGGGGGUAGAAUUCCACGUGUAGCAGUGAAAUGCGUAGAUAUGUGGAGGAACACCGAUGGCGAAGGCAGCCCCCUGGGUCAAAACUGACGCUCAUGCACGAAAGCGUGGGGAGCAAACAGGAUUAGAUACCCUUGU